UACGUAGGGGGCAAGCGUUGUCCGGAAUCAUUGGGCGUAAAGCGCGCGUAGGCGGCCCGGUAAGUCCGCUCUGAAAGUCCAGGGCUCAACCCUGGAAAGCGGGUGGAUACUGUCGGGCUUGAGUACGGAAGAGGCGAGUGGAAUUCCUGGUGUAGCGGUGAAAAUGCGCAGAUAUCAGGAGGAACACCAGUGGCGAAAGGCGGCGCUCUGGGGCUGGCACUGACACUGAGGAGCGAAAGCGUGGGGAGCGAACAGGAUUG
rnacentral:rRNA from 1 species